rnacentral:lncRNA from 1 species
UUUUUAAACUUAUUUUUACAAGAUAUUCUGAAACUUCUUGUUUUAUCCAUAAUGUGCCAAUAAUAGGUUUGCCCAUUAAAUAUAGUUUGAAAUGACAUCUUUAAAAAUAUUAGAAAUGUCUUGUAAUUUCUUUGUCCUUUUUGAAAGAUGUAAAGAAAAUUAUUUCCCGCAAAAUUUUCAAUGGCUUAUAUCUCGCAAACAAGCACACGGAUUCGUAUGCACUACUUGAAGCAUUGUGCGGUUCGGUCUGUGCGUUGGAAUACAUUUCUUAGUCAAGCCUUCAAAUUUUUUAACAAUUUGUUUCGAAGUCGUAUGAUUUGUUAAGUGUUUGGAUGUUUUGUCUUUGUACAUUUUUUUUCUAUCACAUAAACGCUUAAAGUAUAUGUGUUUUUGUAAGUAAAGGUGUUAACUAUGUAUUUAAGAAAAUGAAAGAAGCAUGUAUAGAUUUUGGACAUUUACAACUGUGCAUUGCCUUUAUCCAACAACAUCAAACCAAUUGCACGAUGAUUUACGCAUACCAAACAGCAAAGCGGAAAGUCCCUAAUCAAAUGGCAAAAUCGAAUGAUAAAACACAUCAAACGAAUGGACAAUGCAUGUAUUUACCAAAAUAUGUAUAAAAAAAACCGAUACAACCUAGUUUAGGUAUACAUUUGUAUAUGAAAAUAUGUGCCAGUAUGCUUUCCCUAUUGACAC